rnacentral:rRNA from 1 species
AGUGCACCACAACGCCUGGAUGUCAAUAUAAUGGAUAAGUAAAACUGCGAAGGUCAUUAAAACAGUUAUAGUUAUUUGGUAAUCGAAUUACUGGAUAACCGGGGUAAUUUUAGAGCUAAUACUGCUGUAAAGCCCGAUUUCUCGGAAGGGCCGUAUUUAUUAGAUAACAGACCAGCAGCUUCGGCUAUUGUGGUGAAUCAUAGUAACUAAUCGGAAUCGCAUGGGGCUAGUCCCGCGACAAACCAUUCAAGUUUUCUGCCCCCAUCAGCUUUUCGACGGUAGUGUAUUGGGACUACCGUGGGCUUUUUACGGGUAACGGAGGAUUAGGGUUCGAUUCCGGAGAGGGAGCCUGAGAAACGGCUACCACAUCUAAGGAAGGCAGCAGGCGCGUAAAUUACCCAAUUCUGAUUCAGUGAGGUAGUGACAAGAAAUAACGGGUCGGGAUUUUUUUCCCGGGACUGCAAUGAGAUGAACUUAUACCCCCUUUUUCGAGUAACAAU